rnacentral:rRNA from 2 species
AAAUCCGGUUCACUUUAACACUGAGGCGUGACGACGAGGCACUACGGUGCUGAAGCAACAAAUGCCCUGCUUCCAGGAAAAGCCUCUAAGCAUCAGGUAACAUCAAAUCGUACCCCAAACCGACACAGGUGGUCAGGUAGAGAAUACCAAGGCGCUUGAGAGAACUCGGGUGAAGGAACUAGGCAAAAUGGUGCCGUAACUUCGGGAGAAGGCACGCUGACACGUAGGUGAAGUGAUUUACUCAUGGAGCUGAAGUCAGUCGAAGAUACCAGCUGGCUGCAACUGUUUAUUAAAAACACAGCACUGUGCAAACACGAAAGUGGACGUAUACGGUGUGACGCCUGCCCGGUGCCGGAAGGUUAAUUGAUGGGGUCAGCGCAAGCGAAGCUCCUGAUCGAAGCCCCGGUAAACGGCGGCCGUAACUAUAACGGUCCUAAGGUAGCGAAAUUCCUUGUCGGGUAAGUUCCGACCUGCACGAAUGGCGUAAUGAUGGCCAGGCUGUCUCCACCCGAGACUCAGUGAAAUUGAACUCGCUGUGAAGAUGCAGUGUACCCGCGGCAAGACGGAAAGACCCCGUGAACCUUUACUAUAGCUUGACACUGAACAUUGAGCCUUGAUGUGUAGGAUAGGUGGGAGGCUUUGAAGUGUGGACGCCAGUCUGCAUGGAGCCGACCUUGAAAUACCACCCUUUAAUGUUUGAUGUUCUAACGUGGACCCGUUACCCGGGUUGCGGACAGUGUCUGGUGGGUAGUUUGACUGGGGCGGUCUCCUCCUAAAGAGUAACGGAGGAGCACGAAGGUUGGCUAAUCCUGGUCGGACAUCAGGAGGUUAGUGCAAUGGCAUAAGCCAGCUUGACUGCGAGCGUGACGGCGCGAGCAGGUGCGAAAGCAGGUCAUAGUGAUCCGGUGGUUCUGAAUGGAAGGGCCAUCGCUCAACGGAUAAAAGGUACUCCGGGGAUAACAGGCUGAUACCGCCCAAGAGUUCAUAUCGACGGCGGUGUUUGGCACCUCGAUGUCGGCUCAUCACAUCCUGGGGCUGAAGUAGGUCCCAAGGGUAUGGCUGUUCGCCAUUUAAAGUGGUACGCGAGCUGGGUUUAGAACGUCGUGAGACAGUUCGGUCCCUAUCUGCCGUGGGCGCUGGAGAACUGAGGGGGGCUGCUCCUAGUACGAGAGGACCGGAGUGGACGCAUCACUGGUGUUCGGGUUGUCAUGCCAAUGGCACUGCCCGGUAGCUAAAUGCGGAAGAGAUAAGUGCUGAAAGCAUCUAAGCACGAAACUUGCCCCGAGAUGAGUUCUCCCUGAGACUUAGAGUCUCCUGAAGGAACGUUGAAGACGACGACGUUGAUAG